AUACCUGCAGCUCGAGUGGUGAUCGCUAUUAUUGGGCCUAAAACGUCCGUAGCCGGUUUGAUAAAUGCCUGGGUAAAUCGUGUAGCUUAACUAUACGAAUACCGGGUAGACUGUCAAACUUGAGACCGGGAGAGGUUGGAGGUACUCCUGGGGUAGAGGUGAAAUUCUGUAAUCCUGGGGGGACCACCAGUGGCGAAGGCGUCCAACCAGAACGGGUCUGACGGUGAGGGACGAAGCCCUGGGGCGCAAACCGGAUUAGAUACCCGGGUAGUCCAGGGUGUAAACGCUGCUUGCUUGAUGUUAGGUAGGCUCCGAGUCUGCCUAGUGUCGGAGAGAAGUUGUUAAGCAAGCUGCCUGGGAAGUACGGUCGCAAGACUGAA
rnacentral:rRNA from 2 species